rnacentral:rRNA from 1 species
GAUGAACGCUAGCGGCAGGCCUAAUACAUGCAAGUCGGACGGGAUCCAUUGAUAGCUUGCUAUCAAUGGUGAGAGUGGCGCACGGGUGCGUAACGCGUGAGCAACCUGCCUCCAUCAGGGGGAUAGCCUCUCGAAAGAGAGAUUAACACCGCAUAAUAUCAACAGUUCGCAUGUUCAGUUGAUUAAAUAUUUAUAGGAUGGAGAUGGGCUCGCGUGACAUUAGCUAGUUGGUAGGGUAACGGCUUACCAAGGCGACGAUGUCUAGGGGCUCUGAGAGAAGAAUCCCCCACACUGGUACUGAGACACGGACCAGACUCCUACGGGAGGCAGCAGUAAGGAAUAUUGGUCAAUGGGCGGAAGCCUGAACCAGCCAUGCCGCGUGCAGGAUGACUGCCCUAUGGGUUGUAAACUGCUUUUGUCCAGGAAUAAACCUAAAUACGAGUAUUUAGCUGAAUGUACUGGAAGAAUAAGGAUCGGCUAACUCCGUG